GAAUCCUUGUGCUCAAAGAUUGAGCAACACCCUCAAAAAAAAAAAAAAAAAAAAAACCUGAGGAGCCCAAAUCCUGUUGCUUGUCUUGUCCUGAGGCUCCAUGCUUUAUCCACUAAGCACCACAGUUUUUGAGUGCUGAGGAGAGAGUAGCCUCCAGAGUGAGUUAAACCCACUUAUAUUUUUACAUUCAUGAUCUUUUUUUUUUUAUGUGGGCACAUCUGCCAUGUCCCAUUUGUGAAGCUGUUAACUUGGGGAGCAGUGGAGCAGCCAAGUGAGGAGCAGCCUGUGCCCUGUCCUUGGGCUGACAUGGCCUCUGCUCUGCUUGAGGACAAAUCCUGCCUUGAAAACCUCAUGUGGUGAGCUGUGUGCAGGGGGAGGCUAUGAAGAGUUAAGGAUUUUGUUUUGGAUCUCCAAGGCACUGUGGAAGCCAAGUUCUUAAAAAAGUAGUUUAAUUUGUUGCCAUUACAUUUGCCAGACAUAUGACCUCACUAAACUUUCAGCAAGGGUUCUUUGUGCCGAGAUUGGCCCCUGGGGAGCCCGGUGCUGCUGCAAAUGGCUUUUUGGCUGCUGUGAGUGUGGAGCAUGUUAAACACAACCGUGAUCUGUGAAAAAGUAAGAAUCUUCAAGCACUGCCCACUUUCCUUCCUGUCUGGGAGCUGGAAUUGGACAGCAGAGCUCAUUACUGAAUAGGCAGAAACAGGAGAGCACUGUGGUACUGACUCUUCUGGCCAGGAAAUGCAAUGGCCAGGAGCAUCCUCUGCCCACAGGCUCGUCACUGGACAUGAGUCCACCAGCUAACCAGGAAAUAAAAUCCAACUAUGAUCUAAGUAGCUGGGCUAAAACUAGCCAGCCUCGUGGUACAAAUCACUUAUUAUAUAACCUCUUUAAAGAGCUGCUUUUGAAGGAAAUGUUUUUUGAAACACGAGUGAGUAGGAGGGGAGGGAAGCGAAUCAUUUUACAAAGGUUUGUCACUCUGACGUGAGAGCAGGGCUCUGUUUCUUCCCUUGCUUUUAGAAACGGUUGGUCUGCAAGUGCUUCUCAAGUGGCAGGACCUAAUCAACUGUAGUUUUGGAAAGGAAAUCAGUUGGGAAAGAUUCUCUUAUUGAUACUCCUCUGUGUAUUUGACCUGGAUUUAGUGUGCUGUAGGAAAUUUUACGUAUGUCUCAGGGAAAGCUGGGAUUUGUAGCUCUGCAACAGAGCUGUCACUGCAGGCAGGCAGCACUCUUCAGUCCCCCUGCUCUUGUCAGGGGAGAUGUCUAUAAAUUACUUCCUCUGUCAAGGUACAGGUUCCAUGAAAGAAGAGCUUGUCAGAGAUUUGCAUGUGGGGUGUCACUGAAGAGAGUGAUGGAUUUCCAGGGCACAGGUGUCUGGCAUCCCUUACUUUCUCCCUGUCUCCUUGUAGCACAGCAGCCAGUGCUGCUGGUAAAGGUGUGCUUAGAGCCUUUGUGCUGCACAAGUGGUGGUUGUUGCCUCAGGUGGGGUUUGAAGUUGUCUGGUAUCAGUUCUGAGUAAAGGGGAAGGUACAUGGCUAAGCCAGCAAGCAGGGAGAGUGCUGUGGGGUGGUUUCUGGUGGGGGAUGAGCAUUCUGAACACCUGAACGUGUUCUGGCAGAGGGUCAUUUUCUGCUUAGUUGCAGCUGAGAUAGGCCAGGUGACUGCUGCUCGACGAAUUUGCCAUCUGCAAGGAAGUCUUUCCUCAGUGACCACCUUUAGAUUUCUUUAUACUCACUCCAGCCCUUCCUCCCUGAUAAUGCAAUACAGCUGGAAACACACCAUUCUCUUGUCACAGAAAUGCUAGGCUUGAAUCAGUGCCGUGACCCUGUGCCAAAAACCUGUCACCCCUGUUCUCCCUCGCUGUUUCUGUUCCCUGCAGGCACCUUCCAUGCAGCUAAUAACUCACUGCUGCCUUCCAGAGACCAGGCAAGCUGAGGAUACCGUGGUGCUCUGCUUGGCACAAGGAUUUCUGCAAAUUUCCAGUGUGGAAUGCUUCUGAGGCUGAUCCUGCUUUACUGCGAGGGCUUGUGGCUUUGUGGAGCAUGUGCCACUGGUGGUAGCUGUUCUUGCAGCUGGUGACUGAAAGGGUUAAACUAAGCAGCUGCUUGGAUGGAGCUCCUGCAUGGCCUCACUUCCCUCUGGAGUGGCUGCUCUUGGCAAUGAUUCCCUCCUCACGUUUUCACAGCCAGAGCUGAGCUUUGGUAUGCAGCUCUUCCAACUGGAGGGAGGACUUUGCCUGUUUCAGCUGAAAUGAGCACCUUGGAGUGUGCUGGGCACCAGGAGAUCAUCCUGGCAGCAUGGUAUGGGCAGGGGACAAUGGGGACAUUGCAGUUCCCCUCGUGUGAAUCCACUCUGCCACGUGUAGAUGCUGUAACAGCCACAAAGGCUCUUCCUGUCUGCUGUUACACCUGGUCUGUGUGGUGAAGCAGGCACCUUGUGCUAACCAGGGUCAGCUGAAAUGGUUUUCAUCCUGUGAAAGCCUAGGAAUAUCCUUUUCCUUUUGUUCUUCUAGGCUGUGGUUACUGCAGAAGAUACUGUUCUUUUCAUCCUGGGAGCAGUAGGUGUUGAUUUCUGUGUUAGAGUUUUGUGAUACAGGCCUGUGGCUGGAAAAGUUUCUCCUUCCAUGUUGGGUUCCCUAGGCUGGGAACUUUUUCCAGGAGUUAGGGAUGAAGAUUUUGUCUUUUGGCACUUGUCCCCUGUGGACUGAUGUGGACAUCAGUAGAACCAAGACAGAGGUAGCUGUGGUGUUGCAGAAACUGCUGAGUGCUCCUGGAGUGAGAAAGGCAGGCUUCAAGACUCCUGUUUGUGUGUGGAGCAAGACCCCCAAGGUGACCUGUUUGAAUCUGGCUCUAUGUGCUGUUAAUUGACAAAUAACUCUAAUGCCACUUGAUCUCCUGCUUAAAGAUCAAUGCUCGACUGCUGGGCUAUUUUUUUCUUUGUAGCUCCUGUUUGUUUCCUAAGGGAGAGAUGAUUUGACCAGUGUAUUUGUGUGAUGUGUUUCUUUCUUUUACUCUAUUAUUUAUUAAAUCAAUAGAUCUUAAAAAGGAACACUUACCACAAAGUGUCUGGAGCAAGGUGUGCUGAGAAAAAGUGAAAACCUGCCCACUUGCAUGGCCUUUCCCAUCAGCCCAGCAUCUUUGCUGGAGAGGAGCUCACCUGAGCACAAAGAGGUGGAUUGUCCAUGAAAUUGCCUUCACAGCAGCCCAGGUGAUAAAGAAGGGGGCAGAAGUGGAAAUUCUCGCCUGAGUACCUGCAGGUCACACAGUGAAGCAGGGCUGGAAAUAAGGACGGGCCAUGAGAUUGGUGUUCUAAAUUUGGCAGCCCAGGUGGGAGAUGGGAGGCGUGGUCCAUGCUCUGUGCUGCAGAGGAUGCUGAAAACUCUUAGGAUACCUUUGAGAGGGGCUGUUGGUGGUAUUGAGCAGGCUCAGAGUGCUCUGGAGACAUUGCAGCUGUGGUGAGGGCAAGAAACAAAGCUGAGCAAGUUUCUGUGCUUGGUCCCUUUUCCCAGCCUUUGACAGCAGUGGGUCUGUUGGUUUUCCUGUUUCCUGUGCUCCCUGCCCAUGGGUUGGCAGAGCAUUUUGGAGGUUACGUUCUUUGCUGUGAUUCCCCGACUCUGCCUCUCCUCACUGUGUGCUGCCUUCAUUGCCAGCUCACAGGAGAAGUGAAGAUGAAAGAGAGCAGAGAUGAUUAUAUUUAAUAGCAGUGAAAAUCGGUGUGGUGAUUGAGGGGCUGUUUUCCUUCCUGCUCUCCCACCUAUUGAAGUUGGGAGGCAGCUUUGAAAUAUCACAUAGUCAUUUGGCCAGCCCUGUACCAGGCACCACUGUGGCACCAGAGGGGAGGGGAAAGCCGGGUUGCAUCUGUGUUGUCUGGAUUUUCCAGCCUGGCCCCAGUAGACAGGAAAGUCUUUUUCUCCUCUCUCUUAAAUGAAAACCCCUUUGCCCCCUCUGCAAAGCGCCUCUGCCCUAACACCAGCAGUUGGCUUGCCUGCCUUUUGGAUGCAAAUACUUGCUAAUUUACAAGUUGGGAAAGGAGCAACAGAAAGUUAAUGAAGGUCAGCUGAAGUCCUCUUUCCUUAAUCCACCCCAGCAGUUCACAGUCUGGAUCAAAGAGCUGUGGGAUCAGCUGCCACUCAUCCUGCAACAAGCUGCUCUGGCCCUGUCCUGGGAGCCCAGGCUCUGGAAGAAGUUGCUGCAGGUGGAGAGGUGCUGAAAUGCCAAAUGAUAAAUCUCCAGCAGACACUGGAGAAGAUUUUUCUUCUCUUCAAGACUGGCAUGUAAUGGAUGCUGUGGUAUCUAAGGUGUUCAGAGAGCUCAAGGCUCAGUGAGUGACAAAGGGACUGUGACUCCCGUGGUUGGAACCAGUGUGUCUGUGUCUUGCAGUGAGUGGCAAGGCAGUGCAGCCACCAAGCCCAGGAGCAAGUGCAUGCUGUGGCCUUGACAGAAACCUCUUUAAAAGCAUGACUGUGAUUCUUAUCCCAGAAUUUGUUUAAUGUCCUAGGGACCCCUUCCUAUCCUUCAUCAGCUUCCCGCCACCCUGGACCAAACACAGCUCACUGUGAGCAUCUUUCCCCCAGCCUCUGCAGCCAGAGUAGGAUUUGGCAGUGAACCAGCUUUAUUCCUGAUGUAUGGCAUACUUAGCUCUCCUGUGGCUACCUGUAACCUGCCUCCAUCCUGAAACCCUCCUGCCUGCACAGACUAGUCAGACUUUCCUUUCUUGCCCACCAGGGAGAUGCUGAGUCCGGCUCCACCUCCUCCUCAGGUAUUUCUGCUUUCCCCAAGGCAUGAAAAUCACCCCAGGGCUUCUGAUGAGCUGUGGCUUUUGGAAUGUGCAGAGCAACCCUUUGUUGGCCACUCCUCUCCUUAGGAUCCCUUUGCUUUUUUCCUGCUGAGCAGGAAAAUCUUUGUUUUCAUUGAGUGAGAAAUUUUAUACGAUUUAACUCUUUAAUUAAGUUUUUUUUUUCCUUUCUUGCUGUUGCUCACUCUUAAGAUGCAUGGAAAUUGUUCUUAAGAACAUUUGCAUCAGUUCUUCUGGAGUCAGUUCUUUGGCAAACUUAGCAGUGCUGCUAUAAUCCAUCCACAUCUAUCUGCACUGCUUUAACUAAUAACUCCACUGAAAUCCCUGGGGUUAGUUAAAAUGAGCCCCCGUGGCUAAACAAAAGGGGUUUUGGAAGGGGUUUAACCCUUUGCCUUCCCAGCUGCACAGAUUGAGUAGUGAAGUUCCAGCUGGCUGCCUGGGAGCUUUGCCUCACUGGAGGGGAGAUCAGGUACCUACGUGAAGGUUGCUCAGAGCUGGGGUUGGAGCCAGAUGGCUCAGGAGGCCCCUUCAAGGUUAUCAGCUCUGAUGAGGGGUCCAAAUGCAAAACACGUGAGUGCAGAGACACAGCAGUGAAAUUAGUCUUGACUCAACACAGCAUCUUUGCAAUCAUUUAUAGGGCUGUUGUGCUGGAGAGGCUCUAAUGCCUCCUUUCCUCUCAGUCACAACACUGUUUUUCCUUUUUCCUAAGCAUUUUCUUUGCUUGAAUUUUCAUCCUGGCUGGAUAUAAAGCUGCCCUGUGGCCUUGCAGGUUAUAUUGCAUGUUGUCCCUGUAGCUGGUGGUCAAAUGGGUCCUGCCACGUCUGAAAAAAAUGGGCUGGUGGUGCAAAGUGUGGAAGAUGUUUUCUCCAGGAGGCUUUGUUAGGUCAUGUUUAAUUUUGCGGUCUUUUGUUCUCAUGCAGGGCUGAAGUCCAUCAGGUGGUACAGACUCUGGCCCAGAGUGAUGACAUGCCCUUGGAAACCUCUCAUUCCCCUCUAUCAUGACAGCCAGGUCCUGACUCCAAAACAAGCCCACCUUGCUCCAUUUUGAGUUGUCACCAGGCAGCAGCUGCUGAUUUGUCAUUUGCCUUCUCAAAACCCUCUUCUGAUAUGGAAACAGUUCAUCACUGCCUGUAACCAGCAGGAGCACCAGCAGGAACAUCAGAUCCUACCAACAUCUGUUUUGGACAUCAAGGCAAGUGGGCCUGGGACGGCUUUAUCUGGGGUAGACCAUUACUACUGGUGUUGUACUGGAACUGCUCUUUGCCUGCUGCUGCCAUGCCAUGAGGCCAGGAAAAGCACUCCCAGACAGGCUGACUUUCCAAGGUGUGUUCUAAAUGGAGUAAAAACUCAGGUAUUUUUGAAUACAUGUAUAUGAGUGGUUGUUUUGGACAGAAACUGCUGGUUCUGGGUGCUGGGAGCUGCAGGAGCAACCAUUCCGUCAGUGCUGCAUCUCCAGCUCAGGGCUGUAGAGACCUGGCUCAGGGCUGUGCUGUCCAACACACUCAGCCAUGUUGUUCUUCCAGCAGUUCAGACUGUGUGAAGGUAAGAGGCAGAGGGCUUAUUUGUUUGCUUAGUUUUAUUUUUAAAAACUUUAUUUUUUAAAUUCCUCGCCCACACAAAUCCAUGGGAUGAACAAGCAAGGUCUUAGUCCAGCUGGUUUUGGGCACUUAGAAAUCUCCAUGGGGACUUUUUAUCUGGCAGGAUUGGGAUCCUCUCUUCCCAGUCACAGCUAACAUAAAAACAUUUCUACUGAUUAGUUGCACUUAUUUAUUUGUCCAAACACACAGCAGCCAAAGCCUGUAUUUGUGUGUGUACUCAAAUGUCUUCCAAAAGCCACUCCUACCACCCCUGCAAAAUAGUUGCAGGGUGACACAAGAGUGAUAAACAUCUGGCCAUGGGAAUGCUCUGGAGUGAAUGAACGGGGAGUUGUGAAUGGGGACCAGCUGAAGUGCUGGUGACUUCACUCCACAGGAGACUAAAAUAACCCAGGCUUCCAUGCCCUUGUGUCCCACGGGAGAGGCAGCGACCCAGAGCACCAAGCUCAGGAAAGUCCCUCGCUCAAGGAAGAGGCUUCAGUAGAUGCUUAAUCCAAGCUUUUCUGCUGGCAUGGCUGGAUUUGUGAUUUCAGUGUUCACACCUGUGUUGACUCACAGGGGGAAGCUGAGGUUUGUGAUCUGUGGCAGGAAUCAGCUGUCCUGUUUGUCAAAGCUUCCAGCCUGAUGACGGGGUAUUUGUUGGAAGAUGCAAGAAAUUCUACUGCUUGGGACUGAAAUAAUGGCCCUUAAUUGCUAAGACACUGGGAAAGCCUCAGAGAUUGAUCCCAUACCAACUGCUGGUUCACAUGCUAGUGAAAUCCUGCUGUUGUAAGUAUAUUUCUUAGACAAAUGUGAUUUUUGUGCUCUGGGCAGUUAGCAAAGUUUUAUUAUUUUUUAUUAUUUUUCAAACAUUGCCUCUACGAGCUACUCACACUUCUCCAAGAAAAUAUCUUUGCUAUUACUACUAAGUAGGUGCUUUUUAAAUACUUUGGAAAAAUGAACAUUGAAACGAAAUCCAGAAACAAUUAAAUCAUCCAGUUUUGAAACCUU